AGACCCGAAACCCGGUGAUCUAGCCAUGGGCAGGUUGAAGGUUGGGUAACACUAACUGGAGGACCGAACCGACUAAUGUUGAAAAAUUAGCGGAUGACCUGUGGCUGGGGGUGAAAGGCCAAUCAAACCGGGAGAUAGCUGGUUCUCCCCGAAAGCUAUUUAGGUAGCGCCUCGUGAAUUCAUCUCCGGGGGUAGAGCACUGUUUCGGCUAGGGGGCCAUCCCGGCUUACCAACCCGAUGCAAACUGCGAAUACCGGAGAAUGUUAUCACGGGAGACACACGGCGGGUGCUAACGUCCGUCGUGAAGAGGGAAACAACCCAGACCGCCAGCUAAGGUCCCAAAGUCAUGGUUAAGUGGGAAACGAUGUGGGAAGGCCCAGACAGCCAGGAUGUUGGCUUAGAAGCAGCCAUCAUUUAAAGAAAGCGUAAUAGCUCACUGGUCGAGUCGGCCUGCGCGGAAGAUGUAACGGGGCUAAACCAUGCACCGAAGCUGCGGCAGCGACGCUUAUGCGUUGUUGGGUAGGGGAGCGUUCUGUAAGCCUGCGAAGGUGGCCUGUGAGGGUUG
rnacentral:rRNA from 1 species